GCAAGUCGAACGGCACAUUUCGGGGUGCAGUGGCGGACGGGUGAGUAACGCGUGAGAAUCUGGCUCCAGGUUCGGGACAACCACUGGAAACGGUGGCUAAUACCGGAUGUGCCAUUAGGUGAAAGAUUAAUCGCCUGGAGAUGAGCUCGCGUCUGAUUAGCUAGUUGGUGGGGUAAGGGCUCACCAAGGCGACGAUCAGUAGCUGGUCUGAGAGGACGAUC
rnacentral:rRNA from 1 species